ACAUGCCUAUAGCAUAGUUUUAAUGCAUUGGAUCCCAUUAUAACUCUGCAAUUAAGCAUGCUCAGGCUAGAGUAGUACUGGGAUGGGUGACCUCCCAAGAAGUCCUAGUGUUUUACAUGCC
rnacentral:rRNA from 1 species